CGAAGGGGGCUAGCGUUGUUCGGAAUUACUGGGCGUAAAGCGCGCGCAGGCGGUCUUCCAAGUCAGUGGUGAAAGCCCGGAGCUCAACUCCGGAACUGCCAUUGAAACUGUUGGACUUGAGUAUGAGAGAGGUGAGUGGAAUUCCCAGUGUAGAGGUGAAAUUCGUAGAUAUUGGGAAGAACACCGGUGGCGAAGGCAGCCCCCUGGGUCGAUACUGACGCUCAUGCACGAAAGCGUGGGUAGCAAACAGGAUUAGAUACCCUGGUAGUCCACGCCCUAAACGAUGUCAACUAGGUGUUGGGAGGGUAAAACCUUUUAGUACCGGAGCUAACGCGUGAAGUUGACCGCCUGGGGAGUACGGCCGCAAGGUUA
rnacentral:rRNA from 1 species